ACUACAAGUAUCUAAUCCUGUUGCUCCGCUUUCGUGCAUGAGCGUCAGUGUUAUCCCCGGGAAACACUUCGCCAUCAGUGUUCCUCCGCAUAUCUACGCAUUUCACUGCUACACGCGGAAUUCCACCCCCCUCAGCCACACUCUAGCUCAGUAAUUAAAAAUGCAGUUCAAAAAUUAAAUGGGAUUUACGCAUCUUUCUUUCGAACCACCUGCGCAACUACGCCAGUAGCAUUCCGAUUAACGCUUGCACCCUACGUAUUGCCAGCUGCUGGCACGUAAUUAGCCAGUGCUUGUCUCAAAGGUACCGUCAGUUGCGCAGGGUAUUAUCCGUGCCGUUUCUUUCCUGCCAAAAGUGCUUUACAACCCGAAGGCCUUCAUCGCACCGCGGAUGCGGCUGGAUGAUUUCCCCAUUGUCAAAAUUCCCCACUGCUGCGUCCCGUAG
rnacentral:misc_RNA from 1 species